CCUACGGGUGGCAGCAGUGGGGAAUAUUGCACAAUGGGGGAAACCCUGAUGCAGCGACGCCGCGUGAGUGAAGACGUAUUUCGGUAUGUAAAGCUCUAUUAGCAGGGAAGAAAGAAAUGACGGUACCUGACUAAGAAGCCCCGGCUAACUACGUGCCAGCAGCCGCUGUAAUACGGAGGGGGCAAGCGUUAUCCGGAUUUACUGGGUGUAAAGGGAGCGUAGACGGCGAUGCAAGUCUGAAGUGAAAGGCGGGGGCCCAACCCCCGGACUGCUUUGGAAACUGUAUGGCUGGAGUGCAGGAGAGGUAAGUGGAAUUCCUAGUGUAGCGGUGAAAUGCGUAGAUAUUAGGAGGAACACCAGUGGCGAAGGCGGCUUACUGGACUGUAACUGACGUUGAGGCUCGAAAGCGUGGGGAGCAAACAGGAUUAGAUACCCCUGUAGUC
rnacentral:rRNA from 1 species